GACGAACGCUGGCGGCGUGCCUAAUACAUGCAAGUAGGACGCACAAUUUAUACCGUAGCUUGCUACACCAUAGACUGUGAGUUGCGAACGGGUGAGUAACGCGUAGGUAACCUACCUAUUAGAGGGGGAUAACUAUUGGAAACGAUAGCUAAUACCGCAUAACAGUAUGUAACACAUGUUAGAUGCUUGAAAGAUGCAAUUGCAUCGCUAGUAGAUGGACCUGCGUUGUAUUAGCUAGUAGGUACGGUAAAGGCCUACCUAGGCAACGAUACAUAGCCGACCUGAGAGGGUGAUCGGCCACACUGGGACUGAGAUACGGCCCAGACUCCUACGGGAGGCAGCAGUAGGGAAUCUUCGGCAAUGGGGGGAACCCUGACCGAGCAACGCCGCGUGAGUGAAGAAGGUUUUCGGAUCGUAAAGCUCUGUUGUUAAGGAAGAACGAGUGUGAGAAUGGAAAGUUCAUGCUGUGACGGUACUUA
rnacentral:rRNA from 1 species